rnacentral:rRNA from 1 species
GAUGAACGCUGGCGGCGUGCCUAAUACAUGCAAGUCGAGCGAACGGACGAGAAGCUUGCUUCUCUGAUGUUAGCGGCGGACGGGUGAGUAACACGUGGAUAACCUACCUAUAAGACUGGGAUAACUUCGGGAAACCGGAGCUAAUACCGGAUAAUAUUUUGAACCGCAUGGUUCAAAAGUGAAAGACGGUCUUGCUGUCACUUAUAGAUGGAUCCGCGCUGCAUUAGCUAGUUGGUAAGGUAACGGCUUACCAAGGCAACGAUGCAUAGCCGACCUGAGAGGGGGAUCGGCCACACUGGAACUGAGACACGGUCCAGACUCCUACGGGAGGCAGCAGUAGGGAAUCUUCCGCAAUGGGCGAAAGCCUGACGGAGCAACGCCGCGUGAGUGAUGAAGGUCUUCGGAUCGUAAAACUCUGUUAUUAGGGAAGAACAUAUGUGUAAGUAACUGUGCACACCUUGACGGUACCUAAUCAGAAAGCCACGGCUAACUACGUG